UUUUACUUUGGUUGCUAAAUAAAUACGCACUUCUUCCAGGGAUGGAUUUACUGGGGGUGCGGGGGGCCCUAGCCAUGGCCAGGGGGUGCUAUUUUUCAUGAUAAAGCAAAAAAUUAUUAGAGACAAAAUGAGAUUCAGUAAUUUGAGUAAUACCAUGAUGACAAGCAAACUGUGAACAAUAAUUACAAUUCAAAUACUGUAGUCAAGCAAGACUUUGCAGUAGUGGAGCAAGUUGAUGGACGACUAAAGUAACUGGAAAGCAAUUGCAACGUACUCGUCCGG